AUUGAACGCUGGCGGCAGGCCUAACACAUGCAAGUCGAACGAGUGGCGGACGUGUGAGUAAUGUCUGGGAAACUGCCUGAUGGAGGGAGAUAACUACUGGAAACGGUAGCUAAUACCGCAUACCAUCAGAUGUGCCCAGAUGGGAUUAGCAUGUUGGUGGGGUAACGGCACACCAAGGCGACGAUCCGUAGCUGGUCUGAGAGGAUGACAAGACACACUGGAAGUGAGACACGGUCCAAACUCCUACGAAAGGCAGCAGUGGGGAGUAUUGAACAAUGGGGGCAAGCCUGAUGCAGCCAUGCCGCGUGUAUGAAGAAGGCAUUCGGGUUGUAAAGUACUUUCAGCGGGGAGGCGUUACCCGCAGAAGAAGCACCGGCUAACUCCGUGCCAGCAGCCGCGGUAAUAC
rnacentral:rRNA from 1 species